rnacentral:rRNA from 1 species
UACGGGGGGGGCAAGCGUUGUUCGGAAUUACUGGGCGUAAAGCGUGCGCAGGCGGUCUGUUAAGACCGAUGUGAAAUCCCCGGGCUUGAACCUGGGAACUGCAUUGGUCGACUGGCGGGCUGGAGUAUGGCAGAGGGGGGUAGAAUUCCAGCGUGGUAGCAGUGAAAUGCGUAGAGAUGUGGAGGAAUACCGAUGGCGAAGGCAGCCCCUGGGC